AAGUCGUAACAAGGUUUCCGUAGGUGAACCUGCGGAAGGAUCAUUAAUGAAAUGUUGAAAGGGUUUGAUGCUGGCAUUGCAAGUGCUCGAUCCUUGAUCCAUUACACACACCGUGAACACAUCUUUAAUCAACGCAUGAACGGUCAUAGUCAUUUAAAAUGAUAAUCUAAUACAACUUUCAACAACGGAUCUCUUGGCUCUC
rnacentral:misc_RNA from 1 species